rnacentral:lncRNA from 1 species
CGCGCCGCAGGGUCGCGACCAGCGCGGCGCUGCCCGUCCCCCUCACCGCCCCGGCCGAGCCCCGCUGCGGAGCGGAGUCUCCCGCCUGCCCUUUGCGGUGUUUCCUCCCCGGCAGGUCCCGCACGGCGCUGAGGCCCCUAAACCGACUGGCCUGGGGGCUGUCGGGGGUCAGCCGGGCGGUUGGGAGCGAGAGGAGCCUGGGCCGAAUCACUUGGGCUCGUGCCGGCCGAGGUCGUGUUUUGGGGUCUGCAAGAGCCAGAAAAUGUCUGCGGAGCCCCUGACUAUUUUGUGGAGGUCCAAAGACUCUUUUGGGAAUUAUAAAGGGGAGCGGGAGGAGACUGGAAGGUGAGGGCUGAGAUGGCCUGAAGCACUGUAGUGAAGGGGGACGAGAUGGGUUGAAGUCUCUGGAAGAGAGCCCGAGACAUCUGAUGUUUCUGCAUGCUUUCUGCUGGUUCUCGCUUGCUCCUUGUUCUCUUGUCCGGUGCUGGGUGCUCCCCUUGCCACAGGAGUCAUGGAGAGCCUGGUGUAGAAAUGGGACUGUGCCCCAUGGGCGGUGCAGGGGUUUGUGUUAGUGAGCAUUGUCUCUGUGGAUAACAGAAGGGACUCCUGCUUACUGCUAGGAGCCAGAGCAUCUGUGACAUUUCUUUAGUCUUCAGUAAAGAUCUUCAGUGAGUUACCUACCAUGGGAGUCGGGAUAUCAGCAGCCUCCAAAGUCUGUAAAGAAAGAAAUAAAGUAACUGUUGGGCCAUCAGACUGGAUGUCAGUAUCAGCCACAGGGAAUGGAAUAAUGCUCCUUGCUGUUGGAAGGAAGGCUCACCUCCAUGCAGUUGCAUUGGCACAACUGCAGCCCUGGUGGACUGUGACACACAGAUGGUGUGGAAAGGAGGAAGGGAGGCUGCUGGAUGGGAUGUUCUUCCCCCUGGCCUGCAUUCUGCUGUUCCUGCUGGAAGUGAUAUCCAGUAGGACAUGGAUAAUGAGCACAGCUGAAUUCUCAUGAGUAACAAAACCCUGCCCCUGCUCUUUACUCUGAAAGGUUUUCCAGAGCUCGGCAGUUAAGGACGACUCCAAACCUGAAAAACAAGAUGGCAGGUAACUACAAUUAAAACAAACAGAUAAUUUUUUCAACAUCUUAAUCACAUUUGCAAGAUAAAUACACUGCCAAGCACUAGUUAUGUUCUUAAAUAUUGUCUCAUUCACAGUUAAAACCUUUUCAUCUUGUUGACAGGAGUGGUUAUCUCCUCCAUACAUUAAAUCAUUCCAUGAAGUAUUUCUGUAUGUUUCUUAUAUUUGAAUCUCCAGUAUCCUGAUUGUUUCUGUGGAAUUUCCAUAUUUACUCUCUACAAAGUACAGUUGCCUGGCAGUUCUUUUUCUAGCUGCUGCUUUUUCCUGAUAUGGUUUGGACUUCCUGCAUAAUUUGUACAAAGCAUUCUCUUCUAUAAAUGUAAUUUUAAUUUUGUUUUAGUAAAACUGGGAUAUUCUGAUACGAGUUUAAAAGAGAUAAAUUCUUCAUACUUCUCAGCUAAAAUAAUGAAAUGCUGCCUUGAACCUUUAGAAAUGAGAUAAUAUUAUUUUUAUUAGAUUAUGAAACUGCAAGUAAUGACAGAUAAAUGCAGAUACAUCAUUAUUCUUAAAAAUCUAAACUGCUAAUCAAUAAAAGAUGUUAUUCCAGAAUACUGACA